CGCGGCCUAUCAGCUUGUUGGUGAGGUAAAGGCUCACCAAGGCAUCGACGGGUAGCUGGUCUGAGAGGACGAUCAGCCACACUGGGACUGAGACACGGCCCAGACUCCUACGGGAGGCAGCAGUAGGGAAUCUUGCGCAAUGGGCGAAAGCCUGACGCAGCAACGCCGCGUGGGGGAAGAAGGCUCUAGGGUCGUAAACCCCUUUCAGCAGGGACGAAAAUGACGGUACCUGCAGAAGAAGCGCCGGCCAACUACGUGCCAGCAGCCGCGGUAAUACGUAGGGCGCAAGCGUUGUCCGGAUUUAUUGGGCGUAAAGGGCUCGUAGGCGGUUUGGUAAGUCGGGUGUGAAAACUCAGGGCUCAACUCUGAGACGCCACUCGAUACUGCCAUGACUAGAGUCCGGUAGAGGAGUGUGGAAUUCCUGGUGUAGCGGUGAAAUGCGCAGAUAUCAGGAGGAACACCAGCGGCGAAGGCGGCACUCUGGGCCGGUACUGACGCUGAGGAGCGAAAGCAUGGGGAGCAAACAGGAUUAGAUACCCUGGUAGUCCAUGCCGUAAACGUUGGGCACUAGGUAUGGGAUCAUAUCAACGGAUUCCGUGCCGUAGCUAACGCAUUAAGUGCCCCGCCUGGGGAGUACGG
rnacentral:rRNA from 1 species